rnacentral:rRNA from 1 species
GCCCAGCCCUCAACAAAGGUGUACUAACUACACACUACACUCGCCAGGGGAUUACGAGCAAUUUGCUUAAAACUCAAAGGACUUGACGGUAUUUCGAACCCACCUAGAGGAGCCUGUCCUAUAAUCGACAAUACACGAUCCACCCAACCACCUUUUGCCCUAAGCAGCCUGUAUACCGCCGUCGCAAGCUUAGCCCAUGAGGGACAAGAACCUAGCACAAUAACUCACUUCUGAGCUAGUACGUCAGGUCAAGGUGCAGCCAAUAAGUUGGUAGAGAUGGGCUACAUUUUCUACAUCAUAGAAAUUAGUCACGGAGAGGCCUGUGAAACCAGGACUGUCAAAGACGGAUUUAGCAGUAAAUUAGGAGAAGAGUGCCUAAUUGAAGAUGGCCCCGGAAUAUGUACACACCGCCCGUCACCCUCA